rnacentral:lncRNA from 1 species
CGAAACCGAACCGAACCGAACCAUGGUUUGGUUUGGUUUCUAGUUCAAGGUCUCAAAAAAUACCAAACCGAACCGAAUUUUUUAUUCGGUUUGGUUUCUAGUUUUAGAAUUCGGUUCGGUUUCUGGUUUUAGGUGAAAACCGAACCCACCCCUAACUUAGACUAUGUAUAUGACCGGUAUGAAUUCAAGCAUUGGAGAUGAGUUAAAGAUUGAGCAUAAUCAUAUUAGUCAAACUCAUAAUCUGUUAGGAUUUUGAAAUCAGUUUUAAUACAGUUAUAAAGUUUUAUCUGAUUUUAAUUUUUGAAUUAAAAAGCACUUAGAAAGAUAUGACCUUUUCUUGAUGGAAGAAACUGUCAUUGUAUAACUGGUCUAUAUAGUCAGAUUUGGUCCCUGCUGAUACACAAUCGUUUUCUCGUCAAAAGUCCCAUUAACUUAGAGAAUUAUAAAGGUGGAAUCAGGAGAAGAUCACAUUGACGACUUCAGUUCUUGCAACAAGAUGAAAAGGGUCAAGUGCGUCAAUAGGCAGAUAAAAAGUACACCAAGUGCGCUAACAGAAAAUAAGAAGAACGCCAAGACGGACAUAGAUCAAGAUGGAUCACUCAAGUUAUUCAUGUCAGCUUUCAAUUUAUUUAAAUUCCAGAUUUCAAUAAGGAUAGAUAAUGUUGUUGCUAUCCCGAAAACACAGAAAGUUCAAGUUCAUGUAUUCAUUAUGAGAUAGAUUUUAUUAAAUAUCGAAUUCAGUUCUUUCACCAAUGUCUCAUUUGGAACUAUAUAUAUACGAAAAGGUUACUAGCUAGAGGCUGCCAACUAUUGUCCAUUCUUAGUUCCCAUCAAAGGUUAGCUAGCUAGCCAGUGACGGAGCCAGCCCAGUCUUGACCGGGCUGGAGCCUAGGUAAGAUUUGAAACUCAAAAAACACCUGCAUCAAUCUAUAUUUUAGGCGCGUGUGAGGAAGGUGGGAAGUGAGGGAGGACACAGAGAGUGAGGGAGUCAAGCCAGUCAAGCCAGCUUUGUUUGACAAAGUCAACCCCACAGUUUACACCUAAUUACUGUGAUUAGACGAUUUUGGCUUUAUAUAAUUGGAAAAUGCUCAUUUAAUAGGGCUGCUACUUGCUAAUUAGGAUUGAGUUAGUCUAACGUCUUUACGCUAAUGGCUUCGUGCUUAGUAGCCACUCUUUAUGGCCGGUGGUGGUUAAUUAGUAGCCUUUCACCUUAAAAUUGAUUUUUGACUCUUAAUGCUUCUUUACAUUGUAAAAUGAAUAACCAAAGGCUGUCAAACGUAAUUAACAAUACAAAUACAUAAGCAUUACAAAUUAAAAAUGACGGUUUAAGAAUCUUAAAAGGUUAGAAAACUAGUAAAGAGUCAUCUAGAUAACGCUAGGAAAAUCAUUUAAAUCCAUUAGAUAACGCUUGAUGAAGCCAUCUUGUUUAGAACCUUCUGAAAUAACUGUAACAUCUCGUGAGUCAUAUUGUUUUAAAUCUCAUACAUAUAUCUCCUAUAUCUAUAUACGUGUGUGUGUGUUUUUUUUUUUUAAUUAACCAAAAUUUCUCACGUCGUUAAGUUUCAUUGAUUUAUUUUUUUUCGUGUGUUGCUAUUAAUCUAGGUGACUUUUUCAUCUGGCUCCACCCCUAUAGCUAGCUAGGAUUGAAUGUACGUUCAUUUUGAUCGAGACGGCAACCUGGUGGAGUUCUCGUGCCCUAGCUAGAUAUAUAGAUGCAACCAAACCCUAGCUAAUACGCUCGCAACUCCAAUAAUUAGAUAUUCAAACAUCGAUUCAUCCAACAAGCCAGCGAGAUCCCGGUCCGUACCUGCAGCCUGCACUCGCAUCUCUUAUCAGCUAUCACCCAACAUUAAACAUUGAUUUUCAUUUUAAAUAUGAUUAUGUGUUUCUCACUUCAACUAAUUUCAUGGGCCGGCAGCGUUUCUUCAACUAAUUUAUAUGGAUAUGCUAAAUUGUACAUCAAAGUACACAAAAUUCAUAUUGUCAUCCAUCCAUGACCUGUCUUAUAAUGAAGUUUAGCUAUCAUGUCAUCUUCACUAAUUUAAUUUCAGAAGAUUAGAAGGUGAAGGUCUUUGCCUAAAUCUAUUACCUGUGGAUGAAGGAGACUGAAUGAAAACUAAAACAUCAUGUUAUUCAGUCAUUGUACAGCACUGCUUAUAAUAAGGACCUUUAUCCUAUUUGUGAGGGGAAAAGCAUCUAUUUUGGUCAAUUACGACUCAAAUUUGGUUUGUUUUAACUUCUAUUUUGAAAUAACCACUUCACUUAGAGAUGAAGUCCAUGUAAUGUCAUAUCACUUUGUUCAUAUAUCAUAACACUUCAUAAGAGAAGUUUUACUGAAAUUAAAUACUUAAAAUAGUCUUAAUUACGUCAAAUUACUAACCAUCAUCUCAUACGAACAUACUACUAUAUCUACUAGAUUUUAGGGCCAAUUACAUAUAAGUCCACUUUGAGACAUUUUUUCCCACAUAGAUCCACCCCAACAUUUUUACCCACAUAAGUCCACCCAAGUCUAAAUAAGGUUUUGUAUUAAGUAUUGAAGUUCAACAUAAUUACAGACUGCCAUCCAACAAAAAAAAUUAGAUUUUCUCCUUUAUAUUUAUAAGAAUGCCACUAGUAUAAAAAGUCAACAACCACUCUUAUUUCGGAACAGUCUCCGGCGGACCUCCGGCGAGAUUUCCAGCGGACCUCCGGUGAGGUUUCCGGCCGACCUUCGGCGAGGUUUCCGGCCGACCUCCGGCGAGGUUUCCGGCCGACCUCCGACGAUGACAAAAAUUACUACUACCAGCUAAAAAAGCUACUACCACCAGCUACAAAAGCUACUACCACCGCCUACAAAAGCUACUACUGUGAGGUUUCUGAUGAAAACAAAAAGCUACUACCACCAGCGACAAAAGCUACUACCACCAGCUACAAAAGCUACUACCACCGCCUACAAAGCUACUACUGUGAGGUUUUCGACGAACACAAAACUACUACCACCAGCGACAAAAGCUACUACCACCAGCUACAAAAGCUACUACCACCGCUUACAAAAGCUACUACUGUGAGGUUUCCGAGGAACACAAAAACUACUAUCACCAACCACAAAAGCUACUACCACUAGCUACAAAAGCUACUACCACCGUCUACAAAAGCUACUACUGUGAGGUUUCCAAUGAACACAAAAGCUACUACCACAAACUACUACCACCAACCACAAAAGCUACUACCACAAGCUACAAAAGCUACUNNNNN